rnacentral:rRNA from 1 species
GUCCACGCCGUAAACGAUGGAUACUAGCUGUUGGGGGGCAACCUCAGUGGCUAAGCGAAAGUGAUAAGUAUCCCACCUGGGGAGUACGUUCGCAAGAAUGAAACUCAAAGGAAUUGACGGGGGCCCGCACAAGCGGUGGAGCAUGUGGUUUAAUUCGAUGAUACGUGAGGAACCUUACCAAGGCUUAAAUGUAGAUUGACCGGUUUGGAAACAGACUUUUCGCAAGACAAUUUACAAGGUGCUGCAUGGUUGUCGU